rnacentral:lncRNA from 1 species
GUGGUUCUCCUACCUGAAUAAAAAAUUAAUUUGAAUUUGAAAAUUUUAGAUUAAGACGUUCUAGUUGAUAAAUGACAAGAUUGUUUUGUUUAAUUUCAUAUAUAUUUGAAGGUUAGCAUUUCCAGCGUGCUGUGCACUCGUCACUUGUACCUACCGCAAAAGCAGUUAACUUCGAGGCAUCUGCUGCGUCGCUGUUCUGUUAAUGGAGAUAAUAGUGUAACUGCCUCUUCUCGUUUCCUUUUGUUUUUUGUUAAUUUAUUCGCUGACUUCAUCUUGUAUCUUAAAGUAUUGCUGCAUUGCCUUCUUUCGAUUUAGGAUUUAAACCCGUGGGUGCUAAGUAUCACAUACUGUACUAAAUUUGUACAUUUUGAAAAAAGUUCAAUUGGUAAUUCCUUCUCUUUUAUACAAUCAUUUUCAUGUAGUUGUUAGUUCAAUUGUUAGCUGGUCUUUUUCAGAGCAGAGAGAUACAGCAGAUCUAUUUUCUACUACAUUGUUGUGCCCAACUAAUGAGGUAAUGUAUUAGUGAAGAGGAAGUAGUAAUCUCUCGGUAGAGAUGAGUUCUAACGUGAUUCAUUUUACAGCAAUGCUAUUACCUGAAUAGACUGGAAUGGAUAUAGAGGAUCUAUAUAACCAACCCUAACUGACUUGGGUUUAAGCGUAGUUGAUUGAUCGUUCACACAUCAUACUAUUGAAGUUGAGGAGUCUAUUCUUGAUUGACUGAUUGGAUUAGUGUUUUUUCGAAUUCCUUGGACUAGAGUGCCUACUCUUGAGAUUAGAUUAUUUACUGUUAUUUGGUUUCACUAAUUUGGAGGAUUGCUGAAUGAGCACAGAAGCAGAACCUAAGGAUAAAAGGGAUAUAUGGGAACUAACUAAAGGAUGAAAUUAUGCACAAACCAAGCAUUGUUGGCAGCCUUGCCCUGUUAAUACAAAUAAUCAACACCCACGAGCAAUCGAGCAUUAGGCUGAAGAAAUCCAAUUCUUAAACUUAAUCUCAAACACAAUCUUAAAUAGGACCUAAAUCCUUGUUUGAUGACAAGCAAUUAAGUUAGAUUAUAAGAAAAUAAACAAGGGGGAGAAGAUAACGGAACUUUUACUUAGACAGUCAUCUCAAGUAGUCCAAGUUAUGGCUCAAAAGGGAGAGAUAGAGGGCAACACCCAAUGUCACAAGAGGUUUUUUCAAGCUUAACUUGGGAACUCUUCAAUUCAUCAAAAGUUGAUUAAUUAAAAUGAAAUCUAACUCUAUAUUGUAGUGUUAAGGUGUUAGGCCCAUUAAGAACUAAUACAAAGCAUUGAGUCUCUAAAACUAGGUUCAAAAUACAACCUUGUCCAUGUUUCAGCUUUGGAGAAGAGAUGCUAACGCAUCUAAGGGAGUUGCAUUCACUCUCUAUACAUUUGGUUCCGGAAGCCACUGGAUCAUUAUGGCUCUGUCAUGCAACUGCACAUAAUAAUUUGGCGCAGGCGCAAAUUAACUCACUAGCUUCAUGUUAUCCCGGAAAUAUUGCUGAUGCAAUUGCAGUAGAGAUGGCGUACAUUCGCAUUUCCAAUGGCUUUGAUCCCUCUUGCUUGCUUCAUUCUUCGAUCCAGGACAAGCUUGACUCUUCAAGCCCCCUUCCCAGCUCUGUUCAUGAGUUGCAUAGGUCUUUUAGUACUUCAAGCACCAAUCUCCGUUGUAGCUAGAACUCCCCUAUUUGGAUCUAUUGAUCUCACUGGAUUCAUAUGAAAAUUGGUAUGUUUCCUAAAAACAGCUAUUGAGUAGUCGACGGAACCGAGCCAAAAAGAGGUGGAAUAGAUAUAGAGGAUUCAUGUAGCAGAGUUAAACUAGUUUUGGAUUCUGGUGUAGUUUUUGUUAUUGGUUGUCAUAUUAAGGGUGCAUGCAAACUAAUAAUACAUGGUAUUGGGGACGAUCAUAUCAUGCAUUCUAUGUGUCAAACUUACAGGGUACCCCUGUUUGGUAUUAUCAAAUAUGUCUUCGUUGGUCUUCCUUUAAUGUUUCCCAAAUCUUAUCCAUAUUUCCUAAGUUUGGUACUACUUCUAUGUUUCAUGAUGUGGUGAUUUAUCUCGUAGCUAACCUCUCUACUGUUGUGCAAGGCAAGGUUUACAAGUCACCAGAGUUUCAAAAUAGUCCUCUAGAUCAGAAAGGUAUUUUCCAAAAAGGUAAAGUGUGUAUUUGAUGUCUUUGUAACAGUUAAUAUAUAAUGUUCUCCAUACCACCCAAACCUUAUGUUUGGGUAUACUUUUAUGUCUUGCUAGGGACUGCAGAAAACCAUGAAAAUAGUCAAACAGAAUCACUCACAUCAAACAAGUAAGUCCCACUUCUUGCACUGCUUUGACCAAUAGUGUAUGGAAAAUCUGAGACACGCUUGAUAUUGCUAUCUAUACAGCUUUCCAUGUUCGACUCUUCUUUAUUUUGACUUUUGAGUUGUAUGAUCAAGUUCAAUAUGUGUAAGAAUUGUGCCAUUUGGUAUUUUCUCCUCCCUUAGUUGGCAGAAAUAUUGUGUGCUAUGGUACAUAAAAAAUUACCACCUCCUUCACAUAUUGAACAAAUAUAUUUAGUGGAAUGUCAUACUAAAUCAUAGGUUCAACUGGAGGAUACCAUCACUUGUGACAAUAUAAUUCUGGUGGAACAAUGGUUCUAGAGUUCUCCUAAAUCUCCACUUUUGAAAUUCAUGACACCAAACAAACAUUGUUUCUAAAAAGAACAAGAAGAAGAAGCAGAAGAAAGAAAAUGAAACCACCAAAAAAGCUACACAACCUUUCACUUAUGCUCUAUACUGUAUCAAACUAUGUCAGAAGUGCUAUUUCUCCUGGUAACGUCUUUCAUGACCUAUUAGUUAAUGUGUUUUUAAAUUGAUGAUAGGGGGCCAGAUUUUCAAGUUUUCUUAAUAUCUUCUGCCUCUUCUCUUUCUCUUUAUUGACAUAAAAUUCUAGUAUGGUCUUGGUAUAUGUUUUUAUAUCUUGUGGAACUUUCUCUUCACAUUUUUCUAUGCUGAGGUGAACACUCGCAAUAUCCAGUUUGGCGGAACACCCAAUGUUAAGAUCUAAUUCUUUUUCCUUGCUGCAUUUCAGUGUUCUGACAAGAUUGAGAAAAUAUGGCGUUGCAGGAGUAUUAUCAUAUGGACUACUAAAUACUGCAUACUAUCUUACUACCUUUCUUAUUGUGUGGUAUGUGAUGUGAUGUGAACAACAGGACCAUUUGUACUUCUACUUCCAAUAUUUAGUAGCAUAUUGGACCAGUGAUACACUAUUUCCAUCAGCUAUUCGGUCUUUAGAAAACUUAUAAGCCCUAGUUUGUAGAUUCUUACACACCUCAAUUUUACCCUGUGGAGAAAUUCAUUUUUCAAUUUCAUAGGUAAACAACAUUAAAAUAGAAUAAAAAAGAUUUUUCUUGUGGAAAAAACAUGAACAUUUUUGUCUAUUGAUUUUUUAGUGAGUUCUUGUGGAUGUGGCUGGAGAGGAAAAGUAGUUCUAUCAAUAAAGAUUGCGCAUGAGGAAUAUUGAAUCCUUACUAGAGAAGUUUCAGCUUUUCUUCCUCUUAUGAAAAGAUCUCAUUGUACUUUCAAAGGAAGCUUAUGUUCAUUUUUCGUCAACUCAUAUCGUGGAAUGAUAAUAUACAAAGAGGUCAUUUCACCUCUAAGAGAAAUCUCUGAUUCUUUUUAAAAUCUCAGUUAAUUGAUCCUUUGGAUUCCUAUGCAAAUUUAUGCAUGUAAAACUAGCUCAUUGAUUUGUUUGUAUAUACAUACACACAAAGACAUGACACACACCGGGAAAAAAAAGGUUGCUGGUUGCCUUUUGCAUGCAAGGCCUAAGGUAAACAUUUGAAAAUGGUGACAGACAAGAUUUCAGUGAUCAAAUAUCAGGGUAUCAAUAAAAACUUUGCCCUGUCGUAUUCCUUCGAGCUGCCAUAGUUUACAUAUCAAAUGCACAACGCCUGCUGCUAUCCAAUGUGAAAACCAGUUUGUGUCUAGAGGCAAUACUCCAACCAAGUUUCAGGGAUAGGCAUAAGAGUAAUAUUACCAAGCAGUGGUGAGGGGAGAAAAUAUACAUUGUUUUACUGCUAUCCACAGCUAGUCUCUCAUGAUAAUAAAAUGUGUUUGAAAGACCAGAAUCACAUCUAUCUGUUCUGUUACACGAUAUCAUAUGGUUUAUCCAUUUCAUUCUCAUUAAUUUUUGUUUGUUUCUAGGUUUUAUGUUGCUCCAUCACCUGGAAGAAUGGGUUACCUUGCUGCAGUUGAACGGUAACUGUAACUUUAUGAGUUCUUUUCCUUUCCAGUUGAUCUAUGAUUGGCUUCUUUGGAGAAACUUAAGUAGUUCCAGUUCAUCUGCAGGUUUCUCAAAGUAAUGGCCAUGGUAUGGGCUGGUAGCCAAGUUACGAAGCUUGUCCGAGCAGGAGGGUGAGAAUCCAACGAUGUACAUGUUAGCCACAGAAUUGUGUACUAUGAGUCCUUGGUCCCUUGCCUAUGUUUGGGAGUUAGUGUGGGAGCCUUCAAAUUGCAAAAGUUUCUGUUGUAAUUGUCUAUUUCAUUAUUUCUUGUUCAGAUAAAACAAAUCUGUUUUCUGUCUUUUAGUUGGACUAAUUGAAUAUGUUUCCAUCCUAUGUACUUCUUUGGAGACAAAGGAAACCAGCAUUUCAUAUUAGAAGUGAACGUGCAUAUAAAAGGAAGUGACGGAGUGUAGAUAAAGAAGAGGUCGAUUUGGUGUAUGAUCCUACAUUUAGCUCAGCCUCUUAAGCUGACAUUUUGCAUCUAAUAAAAGCACCAAUAGGAUAACAGCAUAUAUAUGAUAGGUUCCUGUUCAUGUAGAAUUCAUUCAACGGACAUAACAACAGAAUGAGAUGAGUAUUUCUCUCUUAUAAUGUCACCAAUGAUUUUCUUUCAUGAGAGAACUCUUUGAUUUCUACAGCUUAUUUAAUAUGAGAAAAAUUGGUAUUAUGAGCUGUGAGUCAACCCUUAUCAUCUAUGUUUCUAGGAGUCAAUAAUGUGUCUGAUUCAUAUACUUUACAUACAUUUUGCAUUUCUGAACAUGCUUAGGUUAUAUAUCUUUCUUCUAUCUAUAUUUUCCCCAUGGAACGAGAAUAAAGGAGGAAAUUGUGGAUCACAUUUCAGAUAGAACUGAUCUAGUUGUAUUUUGCCAGAGUGAUUAAACUAGUUUCUGUCAAGCACGCAUGCAUGCACACACGUAUACCAUGCGUCCGGGUUGUUUUUUAAAAUGGGGUUUCCUGAAAUUGUAUUAUAAUUUUUGUGCUUUUACAGAAUUUAUUUUGUUAGAUUCUUUUCAGUAUGAGGUUCAGUCUUAAAAAGUUAGCUCUUCAAAAACAUUUUAGCUCUUCUGCAUGGGUAUCUUAUCUGUGAGAAUUUGAAAUCUAGAGCACAUGCUGAUUCUCCGCAGGGCUUUAGCUCUCGCUCCUUUUGUGGACAGAGGAUUAUCAUGGUUUACAACCAAGAUGAAUUUUGAAUCACAAGGGAAAGUAAGUGAAAUUGUGAUUUUUUCCAGCAUCAUCAAUGUAACAAGCUUUUUGCAAUUAACCAUGUAACUUUGUAAUGCAGGCUUUCAUGGUUAUCGCUGGGUUCUGCUUUGGUUUGGCUUUUAUGAUGUUUCUCAUAGUUACCCUACUCUGGGCAUGACCUUCUGUUGUUCAUUUGUCCAAUCGAGGGAUUUCCCGAGCUCUUGUGCUGAAGGUAGUGCUUGUCCAGGUGAGCAAAUGCUUUAAUCACCAUGAUUUUUGCCAUUGUUUCUUUCUUUAUUUGCUUGUGUAGAACUCAUUGGCUGAUUUUUCUUGUAUUUCAUCUUCAGUCACAAAGUUAUCACUAUCUAGGCGAAUUUUGAACAUGGCCUAGGAGGAUCUAACAAAAGAUGCUGCAUAAGAUUCUUACUUUUAUCAGGAUAGGAUAUUGAAAAUACUUGUAGAUCGUUCCCUAAACAUCUGAUAUCACUUGUAAUGCGCCGUGUGUAUGCCCUUCGUCUUGUUGCAUCUGAUAUUACUUGUAAAGCGUCGUGUGUAUGUUCAAAAUAGCCCCUUCGUCUUGUAAUCUGCCUGUCAUAUAAUCAUGCUUUGAUAAUGUUCAAGUAAUUAGCUUUUCAGUGAGAAAUUUUUCAUCUAAAAUACUGAAUUCAUGCUUUGCUAUUGGUUAUCAUAAUCUGCAAACUGAUAAAAUACUCUGUUUAAGUGUUCAUUUCUACUGGUGGGGAUUAUACUUAGGUUAUUUUUUUCUUUCUCUCAUCUGUUUUUUCUUAAAACUUUCCAAGUGCUAUAGUGUAAUGAGAAGCAAAAUUGAGUUUCCUAUUUAACACAUCCCCUAUUUCCUUAACCGAUGGUAUAUUUUCCUGAGUUCAGUUUUCACUCACAAAAGCAAGUCUAACCAAGAAGCAUUGAGUAGAUAUUUACCUUAGCAUCUGCAAAUCAUUGUAGCACAGAGUAGAUAUUGACCUUCUUAGGUGUGUCUUAAUGUGCACUCCAGAAAAUAGUCCAUAACUCAACAAUCUUUUAGUUCCCCUCAGAGUAGGGGUGCUUAUCGGGCGGAUAACUACGCUUAACGGUUCGGUUUAUUGGUUAUUGGAUUAUAAAUGUAGUAAUCCGCUAGCCAUCCAAUAAGACAACGGGCGGAUUGGUAUCGGAUUAACGAUUAUCGGGCGGUUUAUCGUUUAAACCAAGUAAAAAAAAAAUUUAACAAUCAUUCAAUUAAUGCCAAACGGUUUCAAAUCAUAGAUCGCUUUCUCUAGUUCUAUCUUGAGAUGUUGUGUGAUGUUUUCUUUGGUUCUAUCUUGGAAUUGUAUUUGUACUGUCUCAAUUUUCAUGCAUAUUUUCUGAAAAGUAUUGAUUAAACAAUUGUAUUAUAUAUAUAUAGCUGGUAAAUUCUAUUAUGAAAAAAAUACUACUGCACAAAAUACAGAUGCAUUUCUAACUUCUUAUUAGUUUCCACUUAUUUUUCAUUUGGUUAUUAUAAAGGCAUCUAAGUUACUUGGUUCAAAUGUAUCUAAGGCAACAUAGUCCAAUCUGCGGCAAGUACGUAGUCUGAAUUUGUUGGAGCGUGUAAAUAGAAAAAUUCUUAUCGGGUUAACGGUUUACCCGAUAAGAAAAUUGAGUAAUCCGUCCCCAAACCGUUAAGUUAUUAAUUAUAAAAUCUUAAUCCGUUCAUCAUUCAUUAUCCCGAUAAUCCGAUAUCAAUAAGCCAAUUUGAUUCGAUUAACGGUUUCGGUUCGGUUUUGAACAGCCUUACCUCAUAGAUGCUAACUCUCGAUUAGACACUUCCAUUUAUAUUUUGAAAAAAAGAUUCUUGAUAAUGUGUACUUUUAAAUGUAAUCGCCAGCGCCCAGUGAGCCGUAGACGGUGAAUUCCUUCCAGGGUCUUGUACACAACAGUACUAAACUUUCAAAAUAAGAGAAGAGAGAUGAGAUCAAGCCCAUAGGCGAUGAACUGUUUCCGACUUCUUCAUUAUGCGAGUAUUCACAAAGAUUCACAAGCAUACUGACGUGUUUUUUCUUGAAAGUAUGUUACUUCAUGAAAUAACUAUUUAUUUAAAAUCUGAAUCACAUUAUUAAAACCCCAACAAUGCUAACCGCUUUCAGAAGUUUUUGGAAAAAUGAAAAUCUAAGUUAGAAUUUUAUUUAAUAUGACAAGAGAAGUCAAUGCUUUACUCCACAAUGGAUUGAAAUCUUUGUUAAUAUGAAAGUAUACACUUGCUAAAGUUUAUAUAUAUAUAUAAACACUAGUAUUUUUUGCUGCAAUUUUCAGUAACUCAACGCGCAAAACGGUGCAAAUAAUAUGCUUCAAACAACGUUUUCUCUGAUGGAAUUUAUCAUCACGCCCUUCAAACGAGUUCUGGUUGCUUUAGAACAGUACACUUGGAAUUUUUCCUAGAGCACUCGUGAAACCAAGGUGAAGGUACUAGUAUAAGGGUGUAUUUGCAAAUUUAGUAAUCUAUGUGCAUAUAGCUGGCUCUAACAGUACCAAAAAGAUAAAAAGGAAACGAAGAAUGGUGUACUGUCGCAACCUACUAAUAAAGCUCGGAAAAAACUGUUUUGCGCGUUGAGUUACUGAAAAUUGCAGCAAAAAAUCCUAGUGAUUUUAUAGAUAUAUAUAAAUGGUUAGAAAAGGAAAAUGGAACUCUGCAAAAGUGCUUGUUGGAUGUGGUAAUUUAUGCUCACUAAUAUUUCUCAACACAUACAAUGAUACAGUAGCUAAAAAGACAUGAUAUUCUUGACAGUUCAAUAGUAUGUGUAUACUGCAAAUUUUAAGAGUACAGUUGUGCUAUUCCACGUUUCAUCACUUCCUGGAACCAGCUUCCCACAAAUCAGAGCCAACAGGAAAAUGAAUCCCCAAUCAAUACCACCCCAUGUAAACACACUGUUAGUCCUUGAGAAAAACAAAAAUAUCAAGCUACGUAGCUGCAGUCAUUUUAGUGAAACCCCAUCUCAAUUUCAAUAACUACCAAGAGUAAGUUUUCACAUCCACUCCAAUCUGCCUACAUAUUCCACACGAUGUUUAAUUGUUCCAGAAGCUGAGAGUGCCUGGCUUGUUACCUUCGCAGGCUUUGUACUGUACUUCAAUUCAAACCUAGGGAAUUUUCUGUGGUUCUCUUCUGUACUAGAAGGUAUAUCCAGCUGGAUCUCAUUUAGGAACUCGUCUGCCACAUCUCCAUCUUCAUCUAUCCUAAGACGCUUGGCAUACCAUCUCAAUCCCUAAGCACGGAUAAAAAUGUGAACUAAUGAACAUGUGCCUCGCAAACUAACAAGUUAUUCUAAAUUUAAGACAAUGAAAGCACAAAACAGGAUGCACUCAGCGUCAAUCAAGAAAUCAUAGUUAUAUAAACAAGUUGAUCAUGAUACGGACUGUCAAACAUAGUUGUCAUUCUCUCUUCACCAUCCAAGAACAUGCACCUUUACUCAUAUGAUUCUAAUUGAAUCAAGAAACUUAAAUACUCAUGCUAUUUGUAACAUUAUGAGCUUAACUUUAGGAUUUUGAAACGCAAGGAGAAGAAAAUGCACAAACACCAAAAUUUCCAGCAAAGAAGCACAGACGGGCAUUAACAAAACUGCAGCAGGACCCACGGUCUCAAGAAGUUAAUUGACUACACCUCAAGUGAAGAAGCCUAAAAAAAUGUGAAUCCUCCUUCAAACAAUUUCCCAUGUCCUCUGUAACCUAGAAAAUCAUUUUUUUUACCAGAUACCCUUUUCCUAUUUCUCAAGUACGUUUUAGAGGGAGAAGAAGGUUGGCUAUAUAGGAAUUUUGAGUAUGAUAGAGAGCACUAAGAAGUACUAGAAGCUAAAAGAAUAUGAGGAAUAACAAAUUAAUGAAUGAACUCUUCUUUCCGGCUUUCAAAUGCUUAUCAGAUGGGCCACGUAACAUCAGAGCUCAUACCACAGAAGGUUAAUGGAAAGACACCUGUUUUUUUUAAUGUCCGAGAAAUCAAUUUCCGACCUUUGGGCCAACCGCAGCCUUCAUAACUCGGGAUGAUGCCCCCCCCCCCCUAAUUGAAAGACACCUUAUCUCCAGAGUCAUUCAAUAACAAGCUAGAAGUGAGAUCUCCAGAGGACUUCCCCUCCUUAUCUCAACAAGUCCCUGGAACUUAGAAACAUAGCCACAAACAAUACUAGGUCCCGAGAAGAGCGUGUAAGCAUAUUACAGUAUUCAGUGGUACUCUCUGAGUCUGAGUCUAGUGGUUUAUGGCUCUAUGCACUUCCAAUUGCUACAGGACAUGCAUUACAAAAGCUUAAAAGAGCAUAGAAGCCUUUUAGGUGGCCAGAUGCACUCAUUUAACAUACAUUUAGUUGGUAAAUCCCCAAAAUUGGCCUGCAAGUGCAUCCUCCCCAACACCAAAUACUAAUUUUCUUAAAGAGGUGGCCACUAGCCAUCAUAGGUUUUUAGAACUAAAGAAUAGUUACAUGAGCUAUUAAAAGAAAGGAAAUGGCAAGAAGAUCAACACAUCAGAUGUAGGGGUAUUUAAUGAGAGAGAAUACUUAUAUGGUUGACGCAAAAUAGCUUUGAAGGGAUUUCAUCUUCCUUUUUACCGAUAAUUGUGGUGUCUGAGCCAGUUUGCGCGUAUCUCAACUAAUUCCAAGGGGUACCUACAUGCUACCUUCCACCAGCACAGGUAGUGGGUGGAUUUCACCUUCUUUCUUAUCACAUCCUCUCCUUUUUACUUCUAAGUAAUCCUCUUAUCCAGAGAAAUUGAUUGUUAGCUCUAUAAUAGAAUAUCUAAUUUGAACUUCCACUCGUUCAUUCAGAAUUUAUAAGAUAAUGUUUUCAACCACCAAAUCAUCGCGGUUGAAACGCCAUUUCAUCUAGAUAGUAUUGUGGAAGGCAGAAACCAUAGAAAAGCACCAAGUUGCGAUGGCUUUUAGCACAAUGCACAAUUAAAGCAUGGAUUUCAGUUAAGAAGAGGCAAAUGGAGGAAAUAUAUCCAUGUGCAUAUAAUUGUAUAUAAUGCAAGAAAAAUACUUUUACACCAAAAAAAAAAAACAUUUAUUUGGAGAAAAUUGAAAGAAAAACGCCAUGAAGUGAAAUAUAAGAAGUAAAAUUAUGUCAAUCAAAUUCAACCAAUUUUAAGAUUCUGAUUUAGAUGCAACGAUGCCUUUGAAGUGUCAAAUUUAAUGACCAGCUUUCGUCAACUACAUUCUAAUUUCAUAUCUUAUCACUUUUUCCCCUUCUCCAGUUAAUUACCUGAACGCCGCCAUGGCCAGUAGUACAGGGAAUAAGGAUAGGACCAGGUAGAUCUCUGGGAACAGCAACUUGAACAGGGACACUGAAUCCUUUGCGAAGAGGUACAUUAUUACUAUUUUGAGCUCCUUCACCUACGUUGUCCUCUUCUUCUCUCACCUCUUGCCCUUCGUCCUUUGAAAACCCUAGAAACCCAGCUAAUCUCCUAAAUAUACCCAUUCACUUUCUAGUUCUAACUUCUAAGUAGAUACACAUGCAUUUCAAGUACCAGUAAAUGAAGGCAACAGCAAAUGGCUCACAAAUCCACAAUCGGCGGCAGAUCUUAAGUCUUACGUCUUCGACCUGACUGGUGAUCGGCGAAUCGCUAAGUACAGAUGACGAUUAUGAUGAUGACUAGUUUAGAGGUGCCACGAGCUGGAAAAAAAUGCCUUCUUUUUUCACUACCUCAAUUAACCACAAAAGAUCGGAGAAGGUCAUAGACUCAUUGUCAAUAAUUUAGGGACGGAAGACCGAAAUCGAGGGCAA